CAGAACUUCUGGAGCCCAGGAGGAUGCCAGCCACACCCCCAAUUAUGCAUCUCGGUGUUCUCAGUCUGAGCUAAUUUUCACCAGUUUUCACAUGUGUUAUAUCCACCGAGCAAACACAGGGAUGGCUGCUGGCAUGGGUCAUUGGGAUAUUUUAGAAGCAGAAGUCAGAUUCUAAAAGGAGCAGGUGUCUUCCCCAAGGCCCAACCAAUGAGGGUUUGACAGAAGCUGUCCAAUCCAUCGUAUUGCUGUAUCCCUGCCUCCCAGUUCUGAGGACUAGUAGAAGCACUCCAGACAUUCCAGUUCCCUCAAUCCUCACCACCGCCAUAUCAAUUAAGGGCUCUUAUGAUCUCCUUACCAUGGAUGAGGAAAGGAAACUGAGGCACUGGUUCCAAGACUAGCUUGAGAAAGCACAUUCAG
rnacentral:lncRNA from 1 species